rnacentral:rRNA from 1 species
AGCAGCCGCGGUAAUUCCAGCUCCAAUAGCGUAUAUUAAAGUUGUUGCAGUUAAAAAGCUCGUAGUUGAAUUUCGGGAUUGGCGCAUCGGUCGUGCCUCACGGGGUAUGAACUGGUGCAGUCAAUUUCUCACCUUCUGGAGAACCGCGAUGUCCUUAAUUGGAUGCCGCGGGGAACCAGGACCUUUACUUUGAAAAAUUAGAGUGUUUAAAGCAGGCAUUUUUGCUUGAAUACAUUAGCAUGGAAUAAUAAAAUAGGACGGCAUGGUUCUAUUUUGUUUGGUUUCUUAGGACCACCGUAAUGAUUAAUAGGGAUAGUUGGGGGCAUUAGUAUUCAAUUGUCAGAGGUGAAAUUCUUGGAUUUAUUGAAG